UUGUCCUGUUUCAACUUUCCAAUAGUAUUAUUCUUGGUGUGAUCAUAGCUGGAGUACGUAAGGAAAAGGAAAGGUUAACCGCUAUC
rnacentral:rRNA from 1 species